CGAACGAGGUCCACCGCGUAGCAAUACAGGGAAGACCUAGUGGCGAACGGGUGCGUAACACGUGAGGAACCUUGUCCCGGUCUCUGGGAUAACAGUUGGAAACGACUGCUAAUACCGGAUGACGUCGGAGCAUCGCAUGGUGCGCUGACGAAAGGGUUACUGGAUCGGGAGAGCCUCGCGGCCUAUCAGCUUGUUGGUGGGGUAACGGCCUACCAAGGCAUCGACGGGUAGCUGGUCUGAGAGGAUGAUCAGCCACACUGGGACUGAGACACGGCCCAGACUCCUACGGGAGGCAGCAGUGGGGAAUCUUGGACAAUGGGCGAAAGCCUGAUCCAGCAAUGCCGCGUGAGUGAUGAAGGCCUUAGGGUUGUAAAGCUCUUUUACCAGGGAUGAUAAUGACAGUACCUGGAGAAUAAGCUCCGGCUAACUCCGUG
rnacentral:rRNA from 1 species